CGGGAAGUAGCUCAGCUUGGUAGAGCACUUGGUUUGGGACCAAGGGGUCGCAGGUUCGAAUCCUGUCUUCCCGAUUA
rnacentral:tRNA from 2 species